rnacentral:rRNA from 1 species
GGAUUAGAUACCCUGGUAGUCCACGCCGUAAACGAUGGAUACUAGGUGUAGGAGGUAUCGACCCCUUCUGUGCCGGAGUUAACACAAUAAGUAUCCCACCUGGGGAGUACGACCGCAAGGUUGAAACUCAAAGGAAUUGACGGGGGCCCGCACAAGCAGUGGAGUAUGUGGUUUAAUUCGAAGCAACGCGAAGAACCUUACCAGAGCUUGACAUCCACAGAAUGCUCAUGAGAAUGAGCAGUGCCUUCGGGAGCUGUGAGACAGGUGGUGCAUGGUUGUCGUCAGCUCGUGCUG